rnacentral:tRNA from 1 species
GCCUGGGUUGCUCAGUCGGUUAAGCGUCCGACUUCAGCUCAGGUCAUGAUCUCACAGUUUGUGGGUUCAAGCCCCACAUCAGGCU